GAUGAAGAACGUAGCGAAAUGCGAUAAGUAAUGUGAAUUGCAGAAUUCAGUGAAUCAUCGAAUCUUUGAACGCACAUUGCGCCGCCUGGUAUUCCGGGGGGCAUGCCUGUCCGAGCGUCAUUACAACCCUCAAGCUCAGCUUGGUGUUGGGCCCCGCCGCCCCGGCGGGCCCUAAAGUCAGUGGCGGUGCCGUCCGGCUCCGAGCGUAGUAAUUCUUCUCGCUCUGGAGGUCCGGUCGUGUGCUCGCCAGCAACCCCCAAUUUUUUUCAGGUUGACCUCGGAUCAGGUAGGGAUACCCGCUGAACUUAAGCAUAUCAAUAAGCGGAGGA
rnacentral:misc_RNA from 1 species